rnacentral:rRNA from 1 species
AUCUCUCGGGGUUACAGCCUUGCUGAAUUAUUCACCCUUGUCUUUUGCGUACUUCUUGUUUCCUUGGUGGGUUCGCCCACCACUAGGACAAACAUAAACCUUUUGUAAUUGCAAUCAGCGUCAGUAACAAAUUAAUAAUUACAACUUUCAACAACGGAUCUCUUGGUUCUGGCAUCGAUGAAGAACGCAGCGAAAUGCGAUAAGUAGUGUGAAUUGCAGAAUUCAGUGAAUCAUCGAAUCUUUGAACGCACAUUGCGCCCUUUGGUAUUCCAAAGGGCAUGCCUGUUCGAGCGUCAUUUGUACCCUCAAGCUUUGCUUGGUGUUGGGCGUCUUGUCUCUAGCUUUGCUGGAGACUCGCCUUAAAGUAAUUGGCAGCCGGCCUACUGGUUUCGGAGCGCAGCACAAGUCGCACUCUCUAUCAGCAAAGGUCUAGCAUCCAUUAAGCCUUUUUUUCAACUUUUGACCUCGGAUCAGGUAGGGAUACCCGCUGAACUUAAGCAUAUCAAUAAGCGGAGGAAA